rfam:Cephalotus follicularis DNA, scaffold: scaffold5178, isolate: St1.
AAUGGAUCUAUGUUGUUAUUGAUAUAUAUGUGUUAUCUAUCUGCAACUUCCUAAAAGGAAUUGAAAAACACAUACGGAGAUCUAAU